rnacentral:rRNA from 1 species
AUACGGAGGGUGCAAGCGUUAAGCGGAAUUACUGGGCGUAAAGCGUACGUAGGCGGUUAUUUAAGUCAGAUGUGAAAGCCCCGGGCUUAACUUGGGAACUGCAUUUGAAACUGGGUAACUAGAGUUUAGUAGAGGGGAGUGGAAUUUCAGGUGUAGCGGUGAAAUGCGUAGAGAGCUGAAGGAACACCAGUGGCGAAGGCGACUCCCUGGACUAAAACUGACGCUGAGGUACGAAAGCGUGGGUAGCAAACAGGAGUAGAAACCCUAGUAGUCC